CUGCUAUUGUGUGUGUGUCUGUGUGUGUGUGUGUGAGUGUGUUUUCAUUGUUACUAAUAAUCAGUAUUGAUAUUUAAAAGAAGUUCAGUCCUUCCUCAGUGAAAUCCUCUGAUUCUCUUGGAAGACCUUUUUGCUUGUAUGUUUUUUUUUAGAAGGGCAGCACUAAGCUUCAGGAAAAAAAGAAUUAUGUAUAUCAGUGGGCAGGUUUAAGGUGUGUUCUAAAGAAGCUGAACCACAACCACAAGGAUGAGGAGGGAAUUUGGAAAUGUAUAAGUUCACAACUCACCUCCUAGGGCACUUGAAUUCCAUUACUCAACUCAGUGACUUGCAAGACCCUUUCUAAUUGUGCCACUACUUUCAGAGUAACCUGCAAUGAAACUGCCGCUGUAUCACUGAUCUGGUGAACGAAGGGCUGGUGCCUACACCGUGCCACGAAGCCAGCAAGGACUGAGUCCUCCUUCCCACGCACAGAGUCAUCCUGGGGCAGGAGCUUCCUGCAGGCCCACGCUGUGGUGGCCUUGGCUGUGCCUUGUGGCCAAGACAGCAGCACUAAUAACUUCAUAGCCUGCCGAUCUCAGCAGACACAUACCCUGAGGGAACGUGAUAUUUACAUUAGAGAAUGACACAGGAAGAUUACUUCAUGUCACAACAGCAUUAUAGAAACCUGUCUACUCCUACCUCCUUCCACCGGGGAGAGGAUGUGUUAUCAGCCUCAGCUCCUGGUUAAGUGAUACUCCAUCUUCGCCUUGAUAGAAACUUGUCAGAACCUGACAAUAUGCAUUUAGCAUUUGAUUACAUCACCCACUGGUCAUUAAGGAAACCACAGUUGCAUCUUUCUGUUACAGCCUAUCUGAUUAAGUUAUACGAUACAUCCUCCAGCAUUAUUCACGUCCAUAUACACUAGGAGCUAAUUUCCUUCGCUGCACGUCAUCCGGUUUUUAUUAAUGUCUCCUAUGAAAUGAACUUUGGACUUCUAUUUUUUUCCUUCUCCUACCUUCUCACAGUUCAGUCUAUUUAUCAUGGAUUUUUUUUUUUUUCUGAAGAACAUACCAGUAUUUAAGUAUACUAAUAAAUUUUAUUUCUUACUUUUAUUGUAAGAAGGUUUAGUCUUAAUUUAGCUGCCUCUUUUUCUUUUUUUUAGUGAGGUGAUAAGUUCACAAAUAUUUAAGCAAAUUCAGUUCUGAACUAUGGAUGACAGGCAACUUUUACAACAUGUUAAUUUGCAUAAAUAUAACUCCUGAUAUUAAAACAGGGAGAUCAGCCAGCGGUUUAGAGUAGUGACUGAGAACAUGUAUCCUGUCACUGUGACAUUGUGCAGGUUUUAGAAAAGUAUUAUGAGUGCAACGUUUUCACUAUGUCUCUAUUAGUUUAAAAAUAUAAAGCACAGACACAAGGGGAUAUUUCCACUUGAUCUAGUUACUGUGCAUUUAAAUGCAAGUGAAAAUGCUCAAAAACUUGAGACUACAUCUUUCUUUGCCAGAAUUGCAGCCUAGCAUGGUAAAAUAAAUGAAAAUGCAAAAUAUCUACACUUUUCAGUUCGAUCAGAUACCUAUCAGAGCCAGGAUUGCUCCCUGGAAGACCUCAGAGGCAGGAGAAUGCUUAUUGUAAGAUUUACAACCAAUAGGCUGAGCCGCCCGUGGUUAGGAUGAGAGAGAACGUUGCUCUAGAGGUAGCACCACUGUCCUGACUGCUUUCAAACCUUCAUAUGACAAAAAUGAUGAAAAGUUUUCACAAACACAGGGGUCCGAAUUGAUACCAUUUUUCACAUGUGCCCUUGUCAAAUCAUAUAUGGCAGAACACAUGCCUGCAAGCCUCCACACAUACACAACUUAGCUUUAACAUUUCUGCUAAAUUUAAUCUCUUUCGAGCUUACAGUUUUGAGCAGAGUUUGAAGCAGACUCUUUCCAUUAAGUUCAUAAUCUAAUCUCCUUCUUCCUUUCCAUAAAAAUGGCAGAAGUGAGAAGAGAGCAUGGUGAAAUAUGCAAUAACUGGACAGAUAAGUUCAUAUGCUGUGCGCACUAUAAGUAGCAGUGAAGAAGAGAACAAGGCAAACUUGGAAGGUUCUUGAAAAAGAACUUAAUAAGUUAAAAUGCUUUGAAGUGUAUUAAGUAUUUCAGGAUUAGUUAAACAUCUCUCUGGCUGUGAGCAUAGCCCAAUUUAGCCUUCCUUCUUCAUAAUCCCUUUGCUAUCGUGUUAUUUUGGCGAAUUCAAAAUGUAUCUGUACUCAGUUGCAACUAAAAUUAUAUUUAUAAUACCUCAAAAUAAUAAGUGCUAGCAAAAAUAUCAAGUUCUUAUUGUUAUUUUCAACAGUUUCACACAGCAUUGCUAGUAUUCGCUGUCUACAUGGUUGAAAGAGUUCUACAUGGUUGAAAAUAAUUUGCAUAACGACAACAAUGAACAAUUAUUCUACCAGAACUAUGAGCGAAUAUGGUCUUCAGUGCUGAAAACUGUCUGAACACACUUUAUCUCAUUAGUGUUGAAUUAAGUAGGCUUUAUUUAUUCAUAUGACAUUAAUGAUUACAUAGAGCCUAUAACUGUCCAAGUCUCAGAAAUUCUUAGUGCACUAUGGCAGGGUGGAGGAUUUUAGUAGCUCUGUGACAAAGAACAAUAUAAAGUGUGCAGUCUCACUUUCAAACACCAUACCAAUUUUUAUUCUCAUCCUGAACUUUUAGAUUCAUAAAACUUCAGCCUUAUUUUUCCCCCUACAGCCAUAGAACCAUUCAGUUUGAAAUACAAAAAGCACAUCCAUAAUGAAAGGCUUAAGAAUGAUGUGCUCUUCAACAGCACGAUUGCUGUAUGAUUCAUUAUGUUCAAAACCAACAGCAGAUAUUAUGAGAAUACCAUUUAUUAUAUGAUUACUAUUAUCAUAUUAUUAGUACUUAAUCUUGGUGAAUUUCAUGUUCUGCUUUUCCUUUACCUCCUUUCUAAAGAAAUAUUGUGUGGAUGUUACAACAAAAAAGACAGAAAAAAAAGGGAGAUGAACAAGAUUAAUAUUUCUUAGGAAUGUAUGCUAUUACUUUGAUUUGUGAAUGCACAGGAAUAAAAAAAAUCUUCAGAUACAUUACUCUACUGGGUAUACAUGCAUUAGAAUUUAGCCUAAAGAAGGAAAUUAAUAAUAUAGUAUGAGACUUAAAUAUGCUCUCAAAAAGGCUUAUUUCAGUAGGUCGAAGUGAAUUGUAUUUUUACACAGUAUAAAAUACCUCUCUGAGAUGUUUGAGUGUCAGCUAAUUCCUGAGAUAAGUAAUAUUAUGAUGGUUAAAUAGAAUGGAGAGACACAAAACCAAGUUUGAUGCAUUUCCAUGUCAGCACAAAACACCAGAAGCUUUUCUCAACUAAGAGAGGACAGGUGCUUCUAACUUGCAAAGCUCUGUUUUGUCAAUGAGUGGACAUGAUUGUACUGGAGAUAUAUUUUAAAAAGGGAUUCAGGGUCCAGCCUAUUGCUAAAAAUGAGAAAUGGUAACCCAGCAGCGCUCUCAGCUAAUACUUGUAACUAUGACCACAGCUGCGGACAGUCAACUAUCCAGACAGACUAGCUGUUAUAUUACCUUUUCUGCUUUGAACCCUUUAAGGGGUUGAUGAAAAAUAAAGUUUACAAAAUGGCAUCAACUUUUUAGAAAAUCUAAUGCAUUAAUCACAUCAGACAACUAUCAGCACAUUUAAUAGCAGAGAGGCAAAUUACAGCACCUGACAGAAGACUUCAAAGGGUUUUAAUGGUAAAUAUGAGCUAAUGCUCCUUGCCAUGAAAAAGCCCUUUUUUUUUUUUAUUGCUUUAAUAGAUGGAGGAACUGGAAUGCGGAACAGAUAUAUUACCACUUGUACAUUGUUCACCACAUUAGACUGCUGAAUACUGGAAAUCUGUCUUGAAAUAUCAAAAUUAAAAAAAACAAAAACAAAAACAAGAACAAAAAAAAACCACAACUCCCUCCCCCAAACCCCUGGGUUUCUGGCAAGUGUUGCAUACAAACACAGUGCAAAAUGAAUGUUGGUGACUGGAACACUUAUCACUGUUUCCAUAAACGUUUGAGGUAACGUCAUGUAUAUUCAGAGAUCUUUUUCAUCACAUUGAUAUUGACCAGCAAGGCUAUAUACAAACACACUUGCAUGUAUAACCUUGCUGAUUAUAUUAAUGCAUAUAACAUAUUAAUAUUUAUAUUAGUAAAUCUACAUAGAACUCUUAGGUAGUAUUCCUGAAAGUUUGUUUAUAAUGAAAGAAACAGCUGUGUGUCAAAAUUAAAAGACAAUAAAACAUAUUUUCCACUACUUUGUCCUGAUUUGUAGCAAAAAAAAGAUCAGAACAGUGUUUUUCAGUAAAGACAGUCUAUCAGAAAAUUUUCAUCUUAUAAUUUAAACACUUAAUUUAACUUUUUUCCUGAUCUUGCAUUCCAAAAUAAGAUUUAUAUAUAUGUACAUGUAUACUUGUAAAUACAUAUAUAUAAAUAUAAAAUUGUAAACAAUAGGAAAAUAAAAUCAUCCAAUAGCAUCAAAUAUAAUGUGGACUUCUAAAGAAUCUGUAAACAUUGAAAGUGAUCUUUUUCUAGGCGUGCGUUAAGAGAACUAGCAACAUUUUGUAAAAAUGAAUCCCAAAGUCUUCACUAUCUGAAAGCAAAUCAGCACAGAGCAAAUAAGGGCUGAACCAUAUGUCUUCUCAAUUUUAGACCAGAUGAAAAGAAAGAGGAAAGAAGGACACAGAAGGUACAUUUUUUUAGAUUUCUGGCAAAAACUGUGGAUUUGUUUCUUACAGUAAUGAUGAGAUUGAAGAAUCUCCAUUGGACAUUGUUUGGCUGAGUUCCUGUUAAAAUAAUUAAUUGCACACUGCUAGGAUAGUAUAGUUAUUGACAUAUUGUGGCACCAGGAGAUUUGGACAGGCAUUCUUAAUUAUUUAUAAUCUAAGCAAGUAAAUACAAUUAAGUAACAUGUAUUCGUGUGAAAUUCAAAUUGAGUCUCAGAGGUAUGUAAGAUCACCUUUGCUUAAAGUUGAUCCGUGCUUACAAAAUGAUGACUUACAUAAACUUUUAUAGACCUACUAACAUUUGAUUGAAUCUGAAAUGACUUAGUUGUAGAGGUUUGGAAAACAGUAAGAAAGAGUAUUUUAAAAGAAAUUUAAUUAGCACAAAAUCUUAAUCCUAUCAAGAGAAAGACAAAAUCCGUGGCAAAGACAAAGAAAUGAAUAAAACAAAUAAGAUAUCUGAA